GACACGGCCCAAACUCCUACGGGAGGCAGCAGUAGGGAAUCUUCCACAAUGGACGCAAGUCUGAUGGAGCAACGCCGCGUGAGUGAAGAAGGCUUUCGGGUCGUAAAACUCUGUUGUUGGAGAAGAAUGGUCGGCAGAGUAACUGUUGUCGGCGUGACGGUAUCCAACCAGAAAGCCACGGCUAACUACGUGCCAGCAGCCGCGGUAAUACGUAGGUGGCAAGCGUUAUCCGGAUUUAUUGGGCGUAAAGCGAGCGCAGGCGGUUUUUUAAGUCUGAUGUGAAAGCCCUCGGCUUAACCGAGGAAGCGCAUCGGAAACUGGGAAACUUGAGUGCAGAAGAGGACAGUGGAACUCCAUGUGUAGCGGUGAAAUGCGUAGAUAUAUGGAAGAACACCAGUGGCGAAGGCGGCUGUCUGGUCUGUAACUGACGCUGAGGCUCGAAAGCAUGGGUAGCGAACAGGAUUAGAUACCCUGGUAGUCCAUGCCGUAAACGAUGAAUGCUAGGUGUUUGGAGGGUUUCCGCCCCUUCAGUGCCGCAGCCUAACGCAUUUAAGCAUUCCGCCCUGGGGGAGUACGACCGCCAGGGUUGAAACUCCAAAGGAUUUGACGGGGGGCCCGCACAAGCGGGGGAACCAUGUGGGUUU
rnacentral:rRNA from 1 species